UACGUAGGGUGCGAGCGUUAAUCGGAUGUACUGGGCGUAAAGCGUGCGCAGGCGGCCCGUUAAGACAGGUGUGAAAUCCCUGGGCUCAAACUAGGAAUUGCGCUUGUGACUGGAGGGCUCGAGUACGGUAGAGGGGGGUGGAAUUCCUGGUGUAGCAGUGAAAUGCGUAGAGAUCAGGAGGAACACCGAUGGCGAAGGCAGCCCCCUGGGCCUGUACUGACGCUCAUGCACGAAAGCGUGGGGAGCAAACAGG
rnacentral:rRNA from 1 species